rnacentral:rRNA from 1 species
UACGGAAGGCAGCAGUGGGGAAUAUUGCACAAUGGGCGAAAGCCUGAUGCAGCUAUGCCGCGUGUAUGAAGAAGGCCUUAGGGUUGUAAAGUACUUUCAUCGGGGAGGAAAAACAAAACUAAUAAUUUUAUUUCUUGACGUUACCCGAAAAAGAAGCACCGGCUAACUCCGUGCCAGCAGCCGCGGUAAUACGGAGGGUGCUAGCGUUAAUCAGAAUUACUGGGCGUAAAGAGCACGUAGGUGGUUUUUUUAAGUCAGAUGUGAAAUCCCUGGGCUUAACCUAGGAACUGCAUUUUGAAACUGAAAUACUAGAGUAUCGUAGAGGGAGGUAGAAUUCUAGGUGUAGCGGUGAAAUGCGUAGAUAUCUGGAGGAAUACCUGUGGCGAAAGCGGCCUCCUAAACGAAUACUGACACUGAGGUGCGAAAGCGUGGGGAGCAAACAGGGAUUAGGAUACC